rnacentral:rRNA from 1 species
ACUCCUACGGGAGGCAGCAGUGGGGAAUAUUGCACAAUGGGGGAAACCCUGAUGCAGCCAUGCCGCGUGUGUGAAGAAGGCCUUCGGGUUGUAAAGUACUUUCAGCAGUGAGGAAGGUGUUGUCGUUAAUAGCGGCCUCAUUUGACGUUAGCUGCAGAAGAAGCACCGGCUAACUCCGUGCCAGCAGCCGCGGUAAUACGGAGGGUGCGAGCGUUAAUCGGAAUUACUGGGCGUAAAGCGCAUGCAGGCGGCCUGUUAAGUCAGAUGUGAAAGCCCGGGGCUUAACCUCGGAAUUGCAUUUGAAACUGGCAGGCUAGAGUCUUGUAGAGGGGGGUAGAAUUUCAGGUGUAGCGGUGAAAUGCGUAGAGAUCUGAAGGAAUACCAGUGGCGAAGGCGGCCCCCUGGACAAAGACUGACGCUCAGAUGCGAAAGCGUGGGGAGCAAACAGGAUUAGAUACCCUGGUAGGAUAGCG